AUUGAGCGCUGGCGGCAUGCCUUACACAUGCGAGUCGAACGGUAACAGGUUAAGCUGACGAGUGGCGAACGGGUGAGUAAUACAUCGGAACGUGCCCAGUAGUGGGGGAUAGCCCGGCGAAAGCCGGAUUAAUACCGCAUACGACCUAAGGGUGAAAGGGGGGGAUCGCAAGACCUCUCGCUAUUGGAGCGGCCGAUGUCAGAUUAGGUAGUUGGUGGGGUAAAGGCCCACCAAGCCGACGAUCUGUAGCUGGUCUGAGAGGACGACCAGCCACACUGGGACUGAGACACGGCCCAGACUCCUACGGGAGGCAGCAGUGGGGAAUUUUGGACAAUGGGCGCAAGCCUGAUCCAGCCAUGCCGCGUGCGGGAAGAAGGCCUUCGGGUUGUAAACCGCUUUUGUCAGGGAAGAAAUCCUUUGGGUUAAUACCUCGGGGGGAUGACGGUACCUGAAGAAUAAGCACCGGCUAACUACGUGCCAGCAGCCGCCGUAA
rnacentral:rRNA from 1 species